CUUUAUUUAAAAAAUAUUUAUUUUUAGCUAUUGGUGGGCAGAAUAUUUUAUUUUUACAUGAUGCUGAGGAUCAAACCCAUUGCUUCACACAUGGUAGGGAGCAUUCUACCUCUGAGCCACAACCUCAGCCUGGAGGACCUUUAUUUUAUUCAUUUAUUUAUAUGCAUUGCUGAGAAUCAAACCCAGUACCUCACACAUGCUAGGACUGUGUUCUACAACUGAGACACAACCCCAGCCUGCUUAUUCAUUUAUUUUUAUGUAGUGCUCAGUAUUGAAUCUAAUGUCUCACAUGUGAGGCAAGUGCUCUACCACAGAGCUACAGCCCCAGCCCAAAUAUCAUUGUUUUGAUAAUAGCUAUUGGGAAGCCAUGUUACAAAGUAAUAAAUUCAUUCACUUUUUAUUAAUGUAUACAUGAUACAAAACCUAGGCUGGGCAGCCUGGCACAUGUCUAUAAUCCCAGUGGCUCAGGGGCCUGAGGCAGGAGGAUCUUACCCUCAGCAAAAGUGAGGUGCUAAGCAACCCAGUGAAACCCUGUCUCUAAAUAGCAUAUAAAAUAGGGCUGGGGAUAUGGCUCAGUGGUCCAGUGCCCCUGAGUUUAAUACCUGGUACCCCCUCCCCCAAAAAAGUGUGUCUGAGUUUGCUAUUUGUAUUUCACAUUUAACUGUUUGGAUAUUGAACAACAAAGAGAAACUAACAGGAAGCUAUAUUGGAAGCAUAUGUGAAAAUUUCUAAGGCAUUCACAUAAACUUGAGCACACACAACACAAACUCAAUUAGCUCAGCAAUGUUGCAGAUGACAAGAGGAAUACACACAGAAACAGAAGAUUUUUACGCUGGAAAUGAACAAUCUCAAAAUGAAAACAAGAAGCAGUUCUAUUCAAAAUUGUAUGAAACAAAAAUACUUGGAAAUAAAUCUUACAACAGAAGAAGGUUAAGACCCAUUGACCAGAAAGGUAAGACAGAAAGUUGAAAGUAAUCAAGAAAGAGCUAAAUAAAUGGGAAGUAGCUAAUAUUCAAGCACAACAAAACUCAAUAGUGUUAAGAUCAUGUUAUUCCUUAUUUACUGCAUCCAACAGAAUAAAACAAAUAUGACAGUAUAUCAUUGUGCAUCUUGGAUCCAAAGGUCUUGAGUGCUUCUUGUCUUCCUAGUAGAACCCUCUUUCUCCAUGAGCGCAAAGACUGUGUUGCUGAUGGAGGAGGAGAUACCAUGGGGAGGAGAACCAAGGUGCCCCAGGCAACAGCCAGUUCUCCCCAGAAGCAGAGUUUCCUGGUCAACACGUAGAACACAGGCCGGGUGGGCCCCACUGUGCCCAGAUUGCUGACCAGUCACUCUUGAGCUGGUACCUUAUGGAGUGAUUUGUUCUGCAGUCAGAGCCACGUGACACAUAGACUCAGUGCAGAUGGGAGGCCAGGGUUCAACAACACAUUCACUGGGAGUUACUGGCCAACAACAGGAAGCCAAUAGGAACUGAGUUAUCUUCCCCUUGUUUAAGGUUGGGUUUCCUAUUAGAUGGUGUUGAGUUACACAGGUUAUGCAUAUGAACAUCUGUACAUGUGAUUGGUAGUCACAGGGCACUCUUCCUGUGAAGAGGAAACACACAACCACAGCCUGCAGAUUAGAGCCAAGCUACUGGCAGGGAAGGGAUGUUCCCUCAUUAUCGCAUAAAAGUAGGUGGAUGUUAUAGGUCCUUUUCUGCUGACAGACAUCAGGGGGUCACAAACCUCACAGAUGCACCUAUGUGGCAGCCACAAAGAUUAGGUUGGACUCCUGAGCACAUGGAAUGUGGCUGGUUUGCAUUGAGCUACUGAGAGAAUACAGUAUAUUUUAAAGAAAUAGUACCAUAAAGACAAGUAGUUAAUUAAUAGUAAUUGAGGGUUAUGGAAAUUAACAUUCCUAUGAGAGCUCACCAAGAAAAAUGAAAAGAGUGUGGCUUGGGAGGAGGGAGAGGAAAUUAGUAAACAUAUACAAUGGACACUGAGGGAAAAAACCAAAAAUUCAUCCCUUCUUGGGUUCUUCCCCAGCAUUUCCACCAAAAGCAGACAUUACCCCUGCUCAACCAUAAUUGGCCCUGAAGGAAGGAAGCAAAUACUAAAAUACUGGUGUCUGGACUUUUUAUCCUUUCCCAUUGCAGAUGAGUCCUGGAAGGAGAAAAGCAAAUAGUCAUGCUCUAGUAACAAUGGGUCCCAGAGAUAAGCAGGGAACACCUGGUUGUGAGCUUUUCCCAAUGACAAUAAGUUUUAAACUUUUUACAACUGCAUUCCUGAGUUAAAAUUUUAGCUUGCACUACUAGGUCCCUGAGCAGCCAAACUGCAUGUCUACAAUCUCCAAUGAUUAAUUCAUCCUCAUUGUAAACUAUGAAACCCAAACUCCUGUAACCUUGGGGAGGCAUUUCCAUACCCAGAAAAUGAGCCCUCCUAUGCCUGAUGGAUUGACUUCCCUGCAGAAUAAAGGAAAGUUGCUGACAUUAAAGAGUUGCUGUCUCCUGCCUCAGUCAUUUGUGGGCCAUGUACUUACAGUAAUACCUCAUUGCAUCGGUUGCAUAGAAAAAUAAUUAUAUUUUACAUAUAUUGCAUUAAAGAAAUCAACCAUUUCACCUGUGACUCUCGCGUUUUGAAUCUUUAUUUAUUUAUUUAUUUUUUUUGCUGGGGAUGGAACACAGGGCUUUGCCUUUGCUACAAAAACACUCUACCACUGAGUUAUGCCUGAGCUACUUUACAUGUUUCUUUUUUGUUUUUAUGUGGCUUUCAGAAAGUUUAAAAAUACAUAACACAUUUCAUUUCAAUUAAACAGGGCCUUCCUUUCCAUAGCUGGGGCUGAGCCAUCUAAAAGAACACAGGUGAGGAAGGUCAUGCAAUUUUAAAUUGUAAUAAAAUUCUCAAGUUACUCCCAAUCGUGAACAGCACAGUUAUUUGUACAUAUCGCUGACAUUCUUUAGUCCUCUUCCCCUGUUGCCUUCUACACCAGGAUGAAUAUAAACGUUUCCCGCCAGGCUCAGGUCCCAGCUCGCCAAGGAAGCCCUGCCUGAAAAGGGCUGGGCCAAGAGCCUGUCAUCUGGACUGUAUCAGCCAACGAUUGGGUUAGAAUAGCUGUCACUCAAGGCUGCUACAGUACCUGGAGGCGGAGCAGGAGAGGAACUGUCCAAUCAGGUGCGCGGAGGAAGGUGAAGGGCGGGCUCUCGCAAUCUCGAGGUUUUCCCUCUCCCUUGCUGAGCUCCUUCCUCCAUUGAUCCUUUGUCCUCUUCUCCGGAUCCCCGGGGACUCUGCGUAACCUGGGGCCCGAAGGAGUUCAGAAACCAGACGUCUCUAGAAAGGACGGCGGGUCACCCUGGAGUCCCCAAACGGUGAGUGUGGCCAGGACUGGCGGGAUCCGGUGAGCACUUGCUUUGGCAACCAGAGUGCCACUGGUGGAUGACCCUGGGCCCUAUCCCUAGUCCCGCGGGGUGGGAAGUGCUUGGUGGCAGGUCCCCGAGGUCACCCUGGUGGCGGGUGGACCUUGUCCCCGUGGUCCCGCGGAGUGGGUUGGGUGGCAGGUCCCCGAGUUCAGCUGCAGAGGGUGACCCAGUCCUCUCUGGCUAAUCGUCCUGGGUCUCUCUCUCUCAGGGCUGGUCCCUGCCCUCUUCUUUUCCCUGUUGGUGACCUCCCUGGGUCAUAUCUAGGCAGCACGCAGCCUGACGCUCCCAGAGUGUGAGGUGAGCAGGGGACGGUAACAGGGAAUCUGGACUCAGGUGUGUUCUGUCAGUGAGAAGUUGGCCUUUGGGGGUCCCGGUCUGUCCCUGUUUUCUCCACAGAAUUAACCUGUGCACCCUUCAACACAUACUCCUAAAUGUGCAAGAAGCUGGGUAUGAAAUCCAUUUUCCAUUGGGAACUUUGCUCCUGCUAGAGUUGGCAGCAGACCCCUACAAUUCCAGUUCCCUGCCGGCAUUCCCAGAUGGCAGCACUCUCCAGGGCGCACUUUAUCAUGGAUUUGCUCCACAGCCUAGUGUUCAAGUAGACAGUGCUAUCUUUUUCCUUUUCUUUUUUCUUUUGGUUCCCGGGAUUGAACUCUUGGGCACUUGGCCACUGAGCCCCAUCCCCAGCUCUAUUUUGUAUUUUAUUUAUAUACAGGAUCACAUUGAGUUGCUUAGUGUCUUGUGGUUGCUGAGGCUGGCUUUGAAUUCGGGAUCCUCCUGCCUCCAUCUCCCCAGGCACUGGAAUUGCAGGCAUGUGCCACUAAACCUGACCAG
rnacentral:lncRNA from 1 species